UCGCUUGAGCCCGGGAGGUCAAGACCAGUCUAGGCAACAUGUGCAGUUCUCUGGAGCGUCACCCAAGCUGGUUCCUGUAUCGAGUCUGUGCCUCCUCAUUGCCGAGCAGCAAUCCAUGGUGUGAUGGAUGCAUCACUGGCUGGGUCACCCUUCCCUUGUUGAAGGACAUCCAAGUUGUUCCUGGUUUUUGGCUAUUAUCAAUAAAGCUGCUAUAAACGUUUUGUGUGCA